AAGCAGGGGAGCCAAAAGGUUCUAAUUUCCAUUUACAACAGACCUCUGGCUGCCAUGUGAAAAAUGGGUUGGAAAAAAGCAAGAAUGAAACAGAUCAAUUGGGAAAACAUUUCAUUACUCUUUUUUAACAGCUUUAUUGAGGUAUAAUCAAUAUACAAAAAAUGCACAUAUUUAACGGACACAAUUUGAUCACGUUGGACGUAUGCAUACAUCAGCAAAAUCAUCACGGCAAUAUCAAGGAAUAAGCGUGUCUGCAUCGGGAGAGGCCCCACCUGCCAACAGACACCCGUGCUCCAGGCAGAAACUUUAGCGACUCCAAGGAGGGAAUAUCAGCUAAGAUUACCACGUUACCGGGAAAUGUGUUUUUAUAGCCUCCUGAUCUGCAUAUUUUUGCUUUACCUCAAUGCAUACUUUCCCAAUCCUUCCUGAUAGGAGCUGGAUUAAGCAAGGCUCCACUGGUUGCAAGUUCAGGAAGAUCUUCUGAAACAAAAACCGGGGAUUUUAUUUGCUCGUAAAAUAGAAAAGUCCAGGAGGCUGACCUGGCUUCACGCACUGCUGGACCCAGGCGCGCAGCGUCAU